UCCAGCAGCCAUAUCACCCUGCAACUCACUGAAGCUCAGCAGGUGUGAGCCUGGAAAGUACCUAGAUGGGAGACCUUCUGGGAAAAACUGAGGUUGCUGCUGGAA
rnacentral:rRNA from 1 species